rnacentral:rRNA from 1 species
GCACGGGUGAGUAAUACAUAGGAACGUGCCUUUGGGAGGGGGAUAACCACAGGAAACUGUGGCUAAUACCGCAUAGUCUUGAAGAAGUAAAGGUGGCCUCUACUUGUAAGCUACCACCCAGAGAUCGGCCUAUGUCCCAUUAGCUUGUUGGUGAGGUAACGGCUCACCAAGGCAACGAUGGGUAGCUGGUCUGAGAGGAUGAUCAGCCACACUGGGACUGAGACACGGCCCAGACUCC